AGAGUUUGAUCCUGGCUCAGAUUGAACGCUGGCGGCGUGCCUAACACAUGCAAGUCGAGCGGUAACAGGUGUAGCAAUACAUGCCGACGAGCGGCGAACGGGUGAGUAAUGCUUUGGAAUCUUCCCAGUAGUGGGGAAUAACCAGUCGAAAGAUUGGCUAAUACCGCAUACGUCUGUAAAGGGAAAGCGGGGGCUCGUAAGACCCUCGCGCUAUUGGAUGAGCCAAAGUCGGAUUAGCUAGUUGGUGGGGUAAUGGCCUACCAAGGCGACAAUCCGUAGCUGGUCUGAGAGGACGACCAGCCACACCGGAACUGAGACACGGUCCGGACUCCUACGGGAGGCAGCAGUGGGGAAUAUUGGACAAUGGGGGAAACCCUGAUCCAGCGACGCCGCGUGAUGUGAAGAACGCCUGCGGGUUGUAAAGCACUUUUAGUGGGGAC
rnacentral:rRNA from 1 species